rnacentral:siRNA from 1 species
UAUGUACUCCAUAAUUGGGCUA